rnacentral:rRNA from 1 species
UGGGGAAUAUUGCACAAUGGGCGCAAGCCUGAUGCAGCCAUGCCGCGUGUAUGAAGAAGGCCUUCGGGUUGUAAAGUACUUUCAGCGAGGAGGAAGGCGGUAAGGUUAAUAACCUUAUCGAUUGACGUUACUCGCAGAAGAAGCACCGGCUAACUCCGUGCCAGCAGCCGCGGUAAUACGGAGGGUGCAAGCGUUAAUCGGAAUUACUGGGCGUAAAGCGCACGCAGGCGGUCUGUCAAGUCGGAUGUGAAAUCCCCGGGCUCAACCUUGGAACUGCAUUCGAAACUGGCAGGCUAGAGUCUUGUAGAGGGGGGUAGAAUUCCAGGUGUAGCGGUGAAAUGCGUAGAGAUCUGGAGGAAUACCGGUGGCGAAGGCGGCCCCCUGGACAAAGACUGACGCUCAGGUGCGAAAGCGUGGGGAGCAAACA